UACGAAGGGGGCUAGCGUUGCUCGGAAUUAUUGGGCGUAAAGCGCACGUAGGCGGUUCGUUAAGUCGGAUGUGAAAGCCCUCGGCUCAACUGAGGAAGUGCACCCGAAACUGGCGAGCUUGAGUACGAAAGAGGAUCGCGGAAUUCCCGGUGUAGAGGUAGAAAUUCGUAGAUAGUCGGGGAGGAACACCGGGUGGCGAAGGCGGCGAUCUGGGUCGAUACUGACGCUGAGGUGCGAAAGCAUGGGGAGCGAACAGG
rnacentral:rRNA from 1 species